rnacentral:rRNA from 1 species
GACGAACGCUGGCGGCGUGCUUAACACAUGCAGGUCGAGCGGUAAGGCCCUUUCGGGGGUACGACGAGCGGCGAACGGGUGAGUAACACGUGGGUGACCUGCCCUCCAGCUCUGGGAUAAGCCUGGGAAACCGGGUCUAAUACUGGAUAUGACUCCAUGACGCAUGUUGUGGGGUGGAAAGCCUUGUGCGGCUGAGGAUGGGCCCGCGGCCUAUCAGCUUGUUGGUGGGGUGAUGGCCUACCAAGGCGACGACGGGUAGCCGG